AGGGGGGAGUUUAGGGAGGAGUUUAGGGAGGGUAUCGGACAGUCAGAGGAGAGCCGAAAGUAGCACAAAGGCGGUAGCCACACUCAUCAUGGCGGCCAAAGGGCGACCGAGCGGAGGGGGGCGGAGCCACUCCUGGCGGUUGGGGCACGUUGCCGUCUCCGUCGUCGCAUUUAUUGGUUUGUUUGAGAAGGAAUCAGAAAGGCAAUGGGUGGAAGUGGACGUCGGUCAAAGUUAGUCCCGCCUCCAGACUCUCAACGCGCUUCUCAGCGCCGGGACUCCUUCAAGAUCGCCAGUGCCUUCCUUGCUCGGUUUGCCCUUUUCUCCGGGGUGACGUCACGGCGUAGCCGUCACACCCACGAGACGUGCGAACGGCUCCGCAGGGUGUGGAGAAGGUGGAGGGUGCAGUUGGGUGAGGUAGCCUUGGGGUGUGGACUCCUGCCUGCUGGGCUGAAAGGCCUUGAGCUACGGGACGCAAUGGAACUGGGAAGCUUACCGUUUGACGACGCUUGUGCCAAGGCGGAAGUGCUCGCUGCAGCCUCUGUCGCCGCCCUCUAACCUUGUUGGGCUGGGUGGGGAGUGCCUGCCCAUUCUCAACUUUGGGUCCAGAGCUCAAAUGACCACCCAUCUUGGGGGCCUCGAAGAGUUGGGCUUUUUUCCCCCUGCCGCGGCUUGGGCCAUUAGGCAAGUGAGAUUCGGCCCAUGCGGUUUGGCGUCGUUUCAAGGGCCUUGACUUUUGUGUCACCUCCCUGAAUUUGAGUUUUCUCUGGUUGACCACGUAGGUCCACUGGGGAAGUUAUUGAGGUGAAAACUGAUCGCGCUCGGCAAAAUGAAAAAAAGAGGUUCAGCAUGUUUGGGGCUGGGUGCGAAACCGUUCCCUCUUGGACAUAUUUCAGACCCAAUAGUAGUCGUUAAGGAAGAGGCCUUCACCCAGGCCCUGGAAGCCCGUGCUGAGCUCUGCGGGAGGAGGGCCACCGACCCCGAAAGUAGUCAACUAGGGGUUGCGGAAAUGGAGCUGUUAGGCUUACACCUGGUUGGUGGGACUGGAGGACGUUUCAUGAAGGAGGUAGCAUUCGUACCGGACCUCGUAAAGGUAACGUGAUUCCAACAGGUGGGAGUUGAGAACCUAGACUAUUCUGGUUACAGCCGAGGGGCCAUUUCCCAAGUUUGAAAGAACCCAGGCCCUGCUGUAGAAACUGGUUUCUGCCGUUACUACUGACACCUUUACUGCCGUGUGUUGCCUUUCUUUUUGCAGGGAGAAGAGGGAUGAUGAUUAAAUACAUCAGAUAAGAGCUAAACCUGACGGUAAAGAUUAGAGAGAUCAAGGGCCUCCUUGGACUCCUCCCCUGGACCCUCUGCAUCCAGCCGGCUGGUUAGCUAAGAGAGAGAAAACCACGAAGGGUAGUGAACGCUGGAAAUGGUGUCAGUUAUUUCUUCCCACGUCGUGUUGGUCUGACCCAGUUGUCCGGCCCCAACCUGAGUCAAGCAAACUGGGACAUGGCUUCCUAUGUGCUCAGGAGGAAGAAAUGGGAAUGAUGAGCAUCUGGCCAAUCUCUGCUGCAACUGCUAAUUUUGGUGGCCUCCAGGCCAGAGCUACUGCCUUGCUGAGGAAGAGAUGUAGGAGGAUUAUACUCUUGUACACAUUGGAUUUAAUAAAUCCAAAUAUUACCUCUUCAAAUAAAUUAAAAAAGAGACUGGUGGAAUUAUGGGUCAUCCAUACCAUGAAAGAGUGAAGUACAUCUUUACAUACUGGAAUGGAACGAUCUUCAGUGAAGAUGGGCAACAUUUAAAAGCCAGAGAAUACCAAGUGCUGGCCGAGAUAAAGAGCCACUGAAACUCUCAGACCUUGCUAGGUGGAAUGUCACCGGAUGCAACCUCUUUGGAAAGCAGGCAUGUGGACAGAAGAAGCAGACGGGGGAAAGGAAGCAGGGCAGGCAGGCUCCAGGGUUCUCAUUUCGCCGUCUAUCUCCCCAGUCCAUCCAGAUCUUGACCAGGGGAAGCUACAGAAGACAGAUACAGAGAAUACAAAGAACCCAAGAGCAUCAGAGGCUUGUGGACCACUUCCCCAGGUUUCAUAUACAGGCAGUCUCUCCCAUCAGGCUCCAAAAUGGCUCCAGAAUGCACAGCCUUUUUCAUUCAAACAUAGUGGAAUCUAUCAAAGGAUUCAUUGGGUCUCAUUGACUCUCAUUGGGUCACAUGAAAUGCCUGAACCAACCGCAGUGCUUAGCAUCAAAGAGAAGUGCUGCUUGGCUUAGAUCUCUGUCUGGAGCUAGGACUGGGUGAAAUCAUGGCAUGCAACCUGGAUGACUAGGGAAAAGUUGAUAUGGAAUAGCCAAAAUGCUACAUACCCUGUAUCUUCUUUUAAUGGUUGAAGCAGAACUUUUCCAUUUUUUUGUAUCUGUGGAUCAUCUGGAGAUCCUGUUAAAAGUGCGGAAUCUGAUGAAGUAGGUCUGGGGUGGGGCAAAUUAAUUUCAUCUGUUUCUUUUUACUUUUUUAACAUGGUUACUAGAGAAUUAAAAAAUACAUGGUUUCUGUCGGAUAGUGCUAUCCUAGAAGGAGGUAAUGAAGUGGAUGAAGGUGUUGAUCUUGAAACACAUUCAUGUUCACUUAUGAAUACUCAGUCAGAAGAACCAAAUAUAGCAGAGACCACAUGAGACUUACCUCAUGGGUCCUUGGACUUGGUCCACCCUCAGGACCUCAGGGUUAUGUGGUUGCUGGUUGAAUUAAUGCGUGAGUGCUUAGGAUAGAGGACACUGGAACGAGCCUGGUACGGUUUGACCUGAGGAAAGAGGAAAUGCUGGGGAUCCCAGAGUUGCUCCCCCCAACCAGCAGUCACUUCGUUUCCCAUUUUUGUUUACGCAGUUGUCUGAAUUACAGGAAUUACAACUGUGCUUAUCAACUUCCCUGAUCUGUCCUGCACACAUCCACUCAGCUGAUCUCUGCACUCCCUUUUAGCCCUUUCCUGCCCAGACAUAUGCACCCAGCUGCAGUCUGCUUUCUAGGAACUCCCUACUGAACCCAGGAUGUCUUGUCCUACCAGUCCACAGGCCCCCAAAUGUGUCUCUCACUUUCCCCAUCUAAGUUAUUCCCUUACUGUUUGAAUCUCUGUCUCCACCAGCUCCACCUUUCAAAGCCCACAUCAAGGUUCUCUGCCUCCAGAGAGGCCUUUUCAAGACCUGGCCCACAGAAGCCUGCCUUCAGAACUUGUAGGACAUGCUGUCUUUGGCCAGCGUAUCUGCUAUGGAGGGCUGUGUUGUCUAACUCUUAAGGUAUUAGGGUUGUCCUGCAUUUGUGCCUUGAUUCUUUGGUCUGUAAGUUCCUUGAGGACAGAGCCCUGUUUAGUUUAUAUUUGAAUUCCCCUUUUGACCAGGGCCUGUAUAAUAAAUAGAUCCUCAAAAAAUAUAAUUUGGCUCAUUUUCCCAAUACAGAACAAAAUGCUAGUUGAAAAUACAUAGACCUUUAUAUGAAAUAUAUGCAUAAACAUAUUUUCAGUGAUCAUUUUUGUAAUGAAGAGUAUUCUUUUUUAAAAACAAGAUAGUAGAUAAAGGCUGCGGGGAUGUGGAGAAAAGGGACCCCUUGUGCACUGUUGGUGAGAGUGCAGAGUGUAGAUUUCCAAUAAGCCAGUUGGAAAGCAAUUCCACUUCUGGGUAUAUAUCCAGAGGAAAUGAAAACACUGUGUCAAAGAGAUAGCCGCACCUUCAUGUUCAUAGCAUUAUUUAUAAUGACCAAGGCAUAGAAACAACCUAGGUGCCCACUGAUGUGUGAAUGGAUAAAGAAGUUGUGGUAUCUAUAUACACAAUGAAACAUUUAGCAAUAAAUCCUGCCAUUUGAGACAACAUGGAUGAUCCUAGAGGGUAUUAUGCUAAAUGAAAAUAAGUAAGGCAGAGAAAGACAAAUACUGCAUGAUCUCACUUACAUAUGGAAUCAAAACAAAGAACCAAGCUCAUAGAGAUCAGAUUUGUGGCAACCACAGGUGGGAGGUGGGGAGGGGGAGGGUUGAAUUGGAUGAAGGUGGUCAAAAGGUAGAGACUUCCAGUUAUAAAUAAGCACGGGGGAUAUAAUGUAUAACACAAUGACUAUCGUUGACACUGCUGUAUAGUAUAUUGAAACUUGUUAAAAAGAGUGGAUUUUAAGAGCUCUCUUCAUAAGUAAAAAGGUCUUUUUUUAAAUCUAUAUGGGAUGAUGAAUGUUAACUUACUGUGGUAAUCAUUUGCGUUGUAUGUAAAGAAAGUCAUUAUGCUGUAUACCUUAAACUUACAUAGUGUUAUAUGUCAGUUACGUUUCAGUGAGACUGGGGGAAUAAGCAAGAUGGAAAAUUAAUCAUUGCAUAAACUUUUUUUACUUCA